UACGUAGGGGGCUAGCGUUGUCCGGAAUCAUUGGGCGUAAAGCGCGUGUAGGCGGUCCGGUAAGUCAGGGGUGAAAUCCUGGAGCUCAACUCCAGAACUGCCUUUGAUACUGAGAAGCUUGAGUCCGGGAGAGGUGAGUGGAACUGCGAGUGUAGAGGUGAAAUUCGUAGAUAUUCGCAAGAACACCAGUGGCGAAGGCGGCUCACUGGCCCGGUACUGACGCUGAGGUGCGAAAGCGUGGGGAGCAAACAGG
rnacentral:rRNA from 1 species